rnacentral:lncRNA from 1 species
AAAAUAAUAAACCGCGAAAAACAGGAGCGGCCGAAAACGCGGUGGCUCACCUGCAAAGGGACGGACGGCUGCAGCGGGCGGCCGCGGGGCGGCAAUUGGCAAAGGUGGGGGAGAAGGAGGCGCAAGGGGGAGAAGGGCACCCAAACUUUGUUUCUUUCUCUCCGGGACUCAUGGAAAGCGUCACUUCCUAGUGCGGUCCUGGCUUCCAUGCAGAACUUUUUACCAGGGAAGCUCAAGAUGUGUGGAAACAGGAGCCCAGAGAAGUGACUUACUCGUGACUGCAGACAGUAUCUGAUGCAUAACCAGGUUUCUCUGAGGAGUCCCAGAGCCUUCUCUAGCUCCUUGAAGACACAGUGGACUGAGAAAGCAAAGAAGAAAAGGUGGAGGAGGCUAAUGUACCAUAGAACAGAUACAGGAAUACACGUG